CCUUUUUUCUUUAAUUUUGUUAAUUUGUUCUUUUUAGAUAUACAUGACAGUAUUUUGACGUAUUGUACGUGCAGUUUCACUGGUCGUGUAUUCUUACAUGAACUCAGGAGAGUGAUGUCCAUCCUCUCUACUGCCCUUCCAUUCCCGUCCCCCACCUGGCCUUCCCCUUUGUCUGAUUCAAUGAGCUUCUGUUCUUCCUCACCCUUCCCUCACUGUGGGUUAGUGUCUGCACAUCAGAGAGAACAUUCGGCCUUUGGUUGGGGGCAUGGGCUCAUUUCAUUUAGCAUGAUGGUCUCAGAUCCUGACAUCACCAGCUAAUGUCAGGCCUCGCCAUUUUCAUCGAUGGCAGUUCACUGAACACUUGUGGGUCACCUGGCAUCAUAAGCCAGGCAACCGCAGGCUCUUUUGGUAUUGGGGAUUGAACCCCGGGGCGCUUAAACACUGAGCCACACCCCUGGCCUUUUUAUUUUUUGAGAUAGGGUCUCACUAAGUUGCUUAGGGCCUCAUAAAUUGUGGAGGUUGCCUUUGAGCUUACAAUCCUACUGUCUCAGCCUCCCACGACUCUAGGAUUAUACACGUGUGCCACCAAACCCAGGAAUCAUAGGCUCUUUUAUUCCAAUCUUAAUUUCUAAUAUCUGAAACAUUCAAGUCACACUGUUUUAUAUAUGUAUAUAUGUCAUGUUACAGAAAGGCUAAGGAAGGGGUAAGGCAGCCACAGGGGUCCAGGAGGCUGCAGAGAGUAGAUCCAAAUGCAGAGAGUCACUGUAGGUGUCAGAAAAGACUAGGAACCAGCUGGGGCACAGAGCUGUCAAAGGACAGGGGCUGAUUCUAGGCUGAGGUCCCCAAGAUGGCAGUUUCAAAGUGUCAACAUGGACUGUUAACUCUAAGUGUCAGCUUGGAGUGGGCCACACGUGUUCAUCACAGGUAGGAGAAAUAAUCCACACUGUGAGGAAGCCUGAGGACAGAGAUUCGGACAUUGUUCAAUGUGGUGAUCUUCCUGGCCAAGGCUGAAGACCAUUGAUCAGGUGAGGGGCCGAAGGCCACGGUGUCCAGUCUUGGGGUGCUCCUACUUUUCUGGGCUUCUAGUGAGGAGGUUGCUUCAUUUGGGGCUCAGGUGUGUUUGCUGGUGUGUUCUAUAAGCUCGUGGGCCUG
rnacentral:lncRNA from 1 species